UGGUCGUUCUGCCCGUUUGUUGCACUGCAAUUCUAUUAAUGACAUUGCUUGUGGUUUCUGGACAACCUUUUUGCAGCCCUUCUCAUAUUCUGAAAAUGGACUCAGCCUGCCAUCCAUCCAGGAUUCCAGUUUCCAGGUAGCCUAUGGAUGGGCAAGAUCAGCUCUCAAUGAGGUAUCUGCUUUUUGCCUUCCCAUUCCAUCUCCGAUCAUGAUCUGAUGCAACUGAGAAAACCUGUUUGUUGCAGGGCAUUUCUCUUACUUGUCAGCUCCAAAAUU
rnacentral:lncRNA from 1 species